CCAGUGUCCCCUCACCACAGUGAGGAUGGCUGCAGAGCUGGUGAGUAGGUGGGAAAGGCAGCUGUGCGGUUGGAAGUAGGGCUCCUUCAAGCCUGUCACUGGGUUCUGGGUCAUCUGCAGGGCCAGGGCAGCAAACUGUAGAUGUGGGCACUCCUAUCACAGGGGGCAACAGAAAUGUGCAUCCUAGGGCCAAGAGGCUGGUGCCAUGAUCCUAGGCUAGGGGAAGCCCCCCACCUUUUCCUGACUGCAGAGGGAGCUCUGGAAGUGCAGCAAUGGGUUCUAAUUCAUUUUUGGUUUUGCAGGACCUUUUUCCCCAGGGCAUGGUUAAAAGCAUGUGGAUGGAUGGCUAGAUGGAUGGUGGGUAGACGGAGAAGUAAACAGCAAAUGAGUGGACAUGUGGAAAAGGGAUAGAUAGACAGAUGAGUGAGCAGGCAGUAGGCCGACAAAUGGGCAGGUAAACUAGGCAAGCAAUCAGUAAAUUUCUAUAGUUUAUUCACAAGUAAGUGAGUAGACAGGCAGGUGGGUGGAGGGAUGGAUGGAUGGCCAGGUGGGUGAGCAGAUAAAAGUCUAGUGGGAUGGUUGAUGGACAUGAGGAUGGAUGGAUGGAUGGAUGGAUGGAUGAUGGUUAGGUGAGUGAGCAGAUGAAAGUCUGGUUGGAUGGUUGAUGGACAUGAGGAUGGAUGGAUAGAUGGAUGGAUGGAUGAAUGGGGGGAUGGAUGGAUGAAUGGAGGAUAGACAGAUAGCUAGCUGGAUGGGUGGGUGGGUAGGUGGAAUGUUUUCUCCUUCUCUGUUCUUGGGAGGGUCUCUUUCCAAGGCCCGGCUUAUUAUAUAAAUACUCUCAGUGUUUCACCUCGCCAAGCCUGUAUCAUCCUGAUGUCAGGGGAGGGUGGAAAGUGACCCAGGAAAAGUGUGAGGAGAAGCCAGAUUUGGAUCCCAGGAUGUUGGACUCCAAAGUCUGACCUCUUCCCAGCACACUUUAAGGCCUCUGAGAACUCUGGGAAGUGGGGUUGUGGCCUGGAGGGCUGAACUGGGCAUCACCUCCUGGUCCUGGAAGUCGCUGCAGUCCCAGUGGUGGAGGGCUGAACUGGGCAUCACCUCCUGGUCCUGGAAGUCGCUGCAGUCCCAGUGGUGGGGGGCUGAACUGGGCAUUGCCUCCUGGUCCUGGAAGUCACUGCAGUCCCAGUGGUGGGCCAAGGUGGCACUCCCUGCUUCCAGUGCUCCAGGAAGGCCAUGGCCCCAGAAGGACAUGAAGAUGCUGAAGAACACGGUUCCUGGGUGGUCAAAGAGGCAGCUCAGCUGUGAGGAGGGGAGAGAGGGCACAAGGUAGGGCCAGCAUCCAGGCCCAGGUUGGGUCCAAAAUACCUACCUGGUUUUUUUGCCCCUUUCCUUGGCUCACCUUGGCCAUGGGGCAGAUCCCAGAAAUAUUCCACGUGGCACAGGUAUCACAGAGUGGCACCCCCACUGGCACAGAUCUCCUGUCUGUGAGCAGAGGGUGCCUAUCCUGGGAGGGCCUAUCCUCAACCAGGCAGACAACCUAGCCCACCCAGCCCAUCCCCCAACCCUUCCACAGCCACCCACACUAGUGUGUUGGUCCCCACGGUGACAAGGCUAGAGAUAAAGAGCAGGGUGCCCACCAGGGUCACAGGCAGCAGACAGGCCAUGUAGAAACCUGAAGGGUGAGAGAAAGCUCAUGAACCCCCAUCUCUGCACUCAAGCCCCACUCCCAGUCCCCACCCCAGCGCCAGACUCAUCUAGCCAGGCAAAGUGGAUGACCACCUUCACCCCAAAGUACUCUCAUACUUUGUCCAAAGGACAGGGUCAGAGACCUAAAGCGAGUGAGGCGGGAAUUGCCUCUGAGGCACGCCGAGGAAGGGCAAAUCAGCCUUGGCUGGGCUAAGGCUUCUGCUGGCUCCAGCCCCUCCGCGGACAGACCCUGCCCACCCAAGGGGCCGCCUGGUCUCACUUGUCCGGCUCCGAGCUGCGGAAGGCGCACGAAUCCUACGGCCGGCUGGGCACCUACUGCUGCAGAGGGUUGCGCAGGCGCAGGCGUCGCCGUGGCUCCGCCGAGCCCUCAGAGUCGGGGUUGGGCCGGGCCUGGGGUCAAGGGCAGGGUUACGGCCCCCUAGGGAGACUCCGCCCCUGGCGGACCCCGCCCCACCCCUCCACAUGAGACGGCGCGCGCAGGCUCAGUUCCUCGGCGUAGCACAGCGGCUCCCAGGCGCGCUCAGCUCGGCGAAGGGUGCGGCGCUAUGCCGGGGUACUCUCCUGGGCUGCUCUCCCAGGAGGAGAGGGAAGGACCCCUAAGCCCCUCCCCUCACGAUCUCGGCCGGGAGGUGACAGAUCCCUUUUUUUGUUGUUGUUUUGUUUUUUUGAGACAACAUCUCGCUGUUGCUGGAGUGCAGUGGCGCGAUCUUGGCUCACCACAACUUCCGCCUCCCGGAUUCAAGCGAUUUUCCUGCCUCAGCCUCCCGAGUAGCUGGGACUACAGGCGUGC
rnacentral:lncRNA from 1 species